rnacentral:lncRNA from 1 species
UUGGAUAUACAUGGUGUGGGAUAACAGUAACGAAAUUGAUUUGGGUUGGGCAUCGGAGUUGACUGAUCCUAGGUUGGUUUAGUUUUCAAAAUUUUUUCAAUUUAAAAUGGGUGUCGUCCUGUAGAUGCUUAAGUUUUUCUAGGUUCAAAAGCAUUUAGUUAACUAGUUUAUAAUCCUGUGCCACGAGCAGGAUGUGAUUUUUUUUAAAAAAAUAUUUUAUUUUAUUAAUUUAUUAAAAUCUAUUUUAUAUAUAUUUUAAAAAUAAUUAAAAUAAUAAAAAAAUAUAUUUUAUGCAUAGUAU